UCUCUUCUUUCAUUCAAAAGUCUCUUUUGACCACCACCCCCUCCACCUUCUUCCCUUUUUCGUCGUCCUUGCUUCCUCUUAUUCUAUAUUUCUCUCUAUCCUAAUGAAUGAUAAUAUAUUCUCAUUAUUCCUUUGAUCUCUGUCCCAUUCUUCGAUCACGGGCCUCUGUUUUUCGGCCACCAAGGUCAGCGGCUCCAGAAGCAAUAACAACGUUGCCUCAUCCAACCAUAACUGCAAAUGUUCGGCCACGCUGGCGACUACAGCGCCGUCAGAGCCAGUGACAACAUAGAAGAAACAACUGUCAUAGGGUCAACGACAAUGAGUGUCAAAGGAGUCGCGGAAGAACCCACGCGCCAAAGACAAACCUGGUGCGCGUACGCGUGUUUCGUGCGGAAAGUGAACGGAUUUCGGUCAAAGGUUACAUUUGAUGGACUUGUGACAUGCACAAUGUUCAUUCAGACAAGAUUUCAUGCUAAGGACGAGGGUGACAAUAAAAGCAAGCAGGUUCUUGAAGAAAUUUACAAGGUGAAGCUUUUCGGAUGCAAUGGAGAAGAAUUUGAUUUGCUGAAUUAAUCUAAUUAUUAAUUUGAUAGUUGCUAAGAUAAUGUUUGUGAUGCAUUUCUAUUUUGUCCAUAGGCUCUAGAGAGUAAACAAGAAAUUGCAACCACUACUAGAAGUAAUGUUUCAAUAAACCUUAUAAACCCUUUGAUCAAUCAAUCUCCUCUGAAUUUGGUGUGGUAAUGCUUCAGUUGUUCAUUCCUUGUGGUUUACUAAUUCCGUUUUUCAGAUUGGUGGUGUUAAUUACAUUUUUGGUCAUUUUGAAUUAAGUAUUCAACGUGUUGCUAAUUAUUGCAUAUCAACUUUGGGUUACUCUCUAAGUAGCAGUGUUGUUAAUGUUUGGUUUUCUCUAGAAAUUUUUUGUAUCAUAAACACUAUUGGUGAAUACUGUUUUUAUCUCUAGUUGACACUAAUCCAGGUCUCAUGAUAUAUCUUGGUUUUCCUCUUCUUUAUGCAUGUGGAGAUUAUAAGCAAGCAUAUGAAGACGCAGUAGCUACCAAUAAGAUCCUAUUGGUGUUCUUCGGAUGUAGUACGUAUGACUUUGUCGGUACAUAAAAUCAAUCGCGGAGUUGGUUGGGCGCGACAACUUGCUCUGUGCAGCACAGCAGCAUCACAAACUCAUACGCGACCGUCUCUUCCGUUUGUUCUCAACAGAUUCUUUGUCUUCCUUCGUUCAACUCUUUGAUUCACUCCUUCUUCAGGCUACAUGUACCUGGACAUGAUUUUAUUCGACUUAAAUAAUACUUGUAUUUUUUAAGAUAAUUUUAUUUAUUUUUUCCAAAAAGUUCAUUUAAUUAAUUCAUAUAUGUUAGUACACGUUUAGUUCAGAUUAAUUUUUUAAACAAAUCACUUUUAACUUAAUUAAAACACACAUGGAUAACUUUGGUAAUGCAGCUGGCCUGUAAGGCGAUGUGCAAGAUGCUAAUAAGCAUCGAGAGUGGCCAUGAAUUAGUGACGAUGCAUAACGAGGUUGCUCGUUUGUGUGAAGCAAUGCUAGCAUACAUUAUACGUGAGGUUACCCUGGACCAGAUUCUAUAAAGGCCUUCAGGCUCGAAAAAGAAUAGUGAACAUAUUGGAGAAGAAUAUAAGUGAAAGAAGAAGUGGAAUUGCAACUCACCAUGAAGAUUUUCUUCAACAACUUUUAGAUAAUAAAUUAAAUGAGGAUGGAGUCCCAGCAGACAAAGAGAUCAAAGAUAAUAUCUUACCUAUGAUAAUUGCAGUUGAGGAAGUUAUUCCGGAUCCUACGCACGUCUUAGAACUGGACACGAUACAAGUGCAUGAAGAUUUGACCAAUGAGACUUAGGCUGCAAAGAUAGAGGAUUAAAUGAUCAAAUAGAGAGGCUCAAGGUAGCGUGGAGUAACACUAUGGGAGACACGACAUGGGAGCUUAAGGACAAGAUGUGUAAGGAGUAUCAAAAUCUAUUCCCUAGUAUGCAAAUUUUUAAGGACAAAAAUUUUAUUGUUAUGGAAUAUUGUAAUGUCAUGUUUUUUAUAAUGCUUUUACAAGUGUACUGUCUAGGGUCCACAAAAUACAAGUGACACCUUAUAUGACACUCUGAGACAUGUGUCAACCCUUCACGUCAGCCCUGAAACAGGAGCAUGGACACUUGAUCUUUAGCAAUCGGGCUCCUUAACUGACAGGUUAUCUCUAACCUAUUAAUAUUUGAAUCUCUUUAUCUCUUGGCAAGUAGUUAAUUAUUUACAAAGCCACACCUUAUCUACAAGGUACAAUUGUCUACUAUCUUUUAUCUCUAACCUACAAUUUAUCUCUAACAUUAUCUACAAGAUACCAACUAUUAACUAUAAGCCAAGAAUUAACAGCAAAAGUUAUAACAACCCCUACAAACAAGGACCUGCAGAUAUGCUCCAUUCCUAUAAAUAUCAGGUUCCAUCGAACCCUCAACACAUCUCACACACCACCACACAAGCAAACACGCAUGUGCGCAUCUUUGUCUAUCGCUCAAUCGAGCCCACAUUUAAGCAUAUACUUACUUUGUCUCUUAACUCAUAUACUUACUUGAGGGUCGAAGUCUUUUGUUUUGCAGGUCCCUCCUCUUGUUCUCUUAACAAAGGUGCCUCUCGAAGCCAACAUGUGAAGUCCAGAAGCCCACCUUAGCAACAUCCACCCUGACGUGUGACAGCUCUAGAUUUUGGUAAGUACAUUUGGCGUCCACCGUGAGGCUGCGAUAAAAAAAUAUCCCAUGGUCUCUCGUUAACUUUCUCUUGUUCAUCCAUGGUUAGCACUCGGUCUAGCCUUAAAAGAAGACCCCUUUUGAAGACUCUUAUUCUCAUUCGGCAGCUAUGACAGACAUAAAUACUCUUCAACAACUCAAAAACCGCAUUGCAGAGAUGGAGUGUCACCACAUGGAGGAGCUGAGAAAGCUAAAGGCUGACCACGGUCAGCUGGAGGUUCGCAUCAAACGCCUCCAGGGUGAAGAGCACUUCACUCACACAUUGCUUGAGGUCACCCAAGGGAAAUCACACCCCUGACGCACAAUCAACACUUUAGGUGACUCAAGUCUCUCCCACUUGCACCGUCCAACAGGGUGGACUACUGAUCAGCAUCCUUUUAUCGAUCGCAUUAGGGAGGCUGACAUACCCUUGGGGUGGAAACCACUCAACCUUGAGCAGUAUGACGGAACCAUAGAUCCACAUGAGCACCCAGAUGCCUUCUUGACUUAGGCGAACCUAUACACUAAUGACGAUGUGAUUCUGUGUCGUGUCUUUCCAACGUCCCUCGGGAGACAACAAUGACCUAGUAUGUUGGACUCCCACUAAGAUUCAUAGAUAACUUUGACAUCCUCGUCGAAUGCUUCAGUGCACAGUACGUGACCAACAGAUCUUACUGCAUGACCUCGGCCGCCUGGGCCAGUUUGCAACAAGCAAAUGACGAGUCCCUUAAAAAUUCAUGGACAGAUUUGGGCGCACUGUCGUCCAGAUUUGAAAUCUUAACCCGAAGGUAGCAUUGCAUUCCAUGCUCCUCGCCCUACAGCUUGGCAAGUUCGAGGAUAGUCUGUGCAAAAAAACCCUGGUAGCAUGGAUGAGUUGCGUAAACGAGCCAAGGGAUACAUUUAGAUGGAAGAAAUGUCUAGAUUCAGGAAUAAAGAUAGACAAGCAGGACAAAAGUGUGACAAGCGAGAAGGAAACACCAAGACCGACUUACACAAGUCGAACAAGAAGCACAAGCCAGACAAGCAUUAGCCUCUGUUAGUCGUCAUUUACGACUAACUUUUAUAUUGAAGAGCACUAUGAAAUCUAUGUCUUUUCCCCAAUUUAUAGUUCUUUUUGUAGGUGAAAAGAUGAAGAAUAAGAAGGUUGCUUUGGCUGGUGUCUCACUAAGCGAGGCAUAUGCGCUUAGCGAGUAACAUUCACUAAGCGAGACAUCAGCUCGCUUAGUGAGUGAGGAGAAUCUGGAAGAGAAUCUUCCAUGCAUGCACGCGCUCAACGCGCCAUUAGCUCACCUAGCGAGUCAUUUGUCUCUUCUGGCGCUUAGCGCGCCUGACUCGCUCAUCCAAAAAUCACUAACUCGCGCUAAGCGCGAAAAUGACGCUAAGCGAGCCUUCGAGGAUAGAAAGCCCUUAAAAGCUGAAGUUGGCAUGAAAAGAGGAGUCUUUAGCUUGUGAAAGAAUAGAGAUAUACGUGAGAGGAUUCUAGGUUUUAGAGUGAUUUUUAGGUUCUAGGUUUUAGAGUGAUUUUUAGGUUCUAGGUUUUAGAGUGACUUUUAGGUUCCUAGAGGUGGAGGAGACAUCCCUACCACUGUGUAAUCUGAAUUUUGCUUUCAAAACCUCCUAUUGUAACUGAAAGGUGAUAACUUGCCAUGGAAGGCUAAAGCUUUUGUUGGGAAUUUCUGUUGAGCCUUGAUGUAAAUAUUCUUACUAUAUA